GUGUAUCAUAAUAAACUUAAAAAGUAUAAUGGCUAUGAGUGGGGGGAAAGGAAAAAGAUAACCCCUCGAUAGUAUCUUAGUAACAACAUACUAAGGAAACUAUAAAAUUUACACAUGUUAUAGUGAAAGAAAAGAAAUAAGUGGAUAUAUAGGCCAUUGCAUAUUAUGAUAAAUAACUGAGCCAAUAGAUAUAUAGCUCCAAAGAAAAACUCUUAUCAAGGAAUAUCAAGGCGACAAGUUCUUAAAUGCCAUGUUUGAUAACAUAGAACAAUUUCUCCAAGCACAAUUUUAUUCUAUAACUAAUGGUUGUUCACAAAAUCAGGAUUAGCUAAUCAAUAAUUUAACCUACAAGUACAAGAAAUAAUAUCAAGGAAACAUAAUUCAAUUUAUAAAUUGUUAGUGGUAAUCAAAUAUUGGAGAACAGCAAACUUAUAAACCCACAUUACGGCCAGUUCCAGUUCCAACAAACCUAUUCCAUAUAGCUCAAAGAUACUUGACUAGCUACCGCCUACCAACUCAGCUGGUUUACACUCCACCCCAUGCCUUGAAGUAUAAUUCUGAAUUUGUGUAUAUCAUUUAUUCAGGGACGGAAGAGUAGGACACUAGAAUGUUAAGGAUAGAUUCAGUAGGCGGGGUUUUCAAGAAAAACAGGGAGCAAAUUUUGGUGUUUCUUAGUUCAUAUCAAAUGUCAGGCUCAUUAGGCCUGAGCAUAAUUAUCCGAAACCGGUUCAAACCGACCGAUCCAAACCGUCCAAACCGAAUAUUUCGGUUUUUUAACGGUUUGGUUUGGUUUUGGUUUUGGUAAUUAGAAAACCGAAAAUUUUCGGUUUGGUUUCGGUUUUCAACUUCAAACCGACCGAAAUAUCCGAACCGAACCGUUAGCACAUAUAUUAGAAAAUUAUUAUUUUAUAUAUAUAGUUUAGGUAUUUAAGUGCAGAUCAAUAUCAUAAAUAUUCCUUACUUUCAAGAUUAUCCCUCCCUUUUUUCUCCAUCUUUAUUUUAUCCCACUUCAUUAAUAAUCAACCUUUCUUCUUUUUCUCUUUUAAAUAAAACAUUUUGUUUAGUUUUUAAAAUAAAAUGAAUUAUUUGUUUUCAUUACAACGUAUAAGGAUAGCACCUAAAAUUAUUUAUAUCGAAUAAUUAUACAAGUUUCACCUUUAUCCUUUUAUAAGGUAUUUUGUUAAGUGACAAGAAAGGAGCAUCUAGAAUUAUUAUAAAUUAAUAAAAGUGUACAAUUUUUUUAAUAUUUUGGUCAAAAACCGAAACCAAACCGAACCAAUCCGUUAAUAAUCGGUUUGGUUUGGAUUGGUUUUUAUAAUAUUCGGUUUGGUUAUGGUUUGUAAAUUUUCGAAACCGAAAAAUUCGGUUUGGUUCGGUUUGGACCUCCAAACCGCCCAAACCGAACCGUGCUCACCCCUAAGGCUCAUAGCGCAUAAUGCUGCCUCAUUCCCACAGGCCGCAACCCUUUCUUACCCCGCCCAUCACAAACUUGAGUCAUGAACCUA
rnacentral:lncRNA from 1 species